CAUGUUGCUGGCGGAUUGUCGCGCCAGUCGCAUUACAGUGUAUCAGCUGACAAGACGUAACGUGUUUUCGCGCACGAAUCAUGGUGCGAAAAAAAGACUUCUGUUGUCUAUUAUGUCGGAAAAGUUCUCAGUCAUUAUUCGGAUACAGAGAUGAAAAUAAGUAAUCUUCGGAAGAAACCGGGAUUAUCGUGGUCCUUCAUUUUCCUCGAUAUAGAAGACAUACACACUGUGUAUAUCAGCGAUGUCGCCAUGAUCCUCCUUGAUCCUCAACCACGACCGGGUUGUACAUGCAGAAUGGCUAGAAUUUUUACUUUUGUAGUUAAUUUAAAUAAUUAUAAUGUGCAAUAAGUUCCAAAGUAACAACCAAAUGUAUAAUUAUCAGUGUCCGACCGAAGGUCUAUUUUUGGCCGAAGCCGAAGCCGAUUAAUCGGCUAUCGCCACAACCUUCGGCCGAAGCCGAAGCCGAAGGUUUAUAUUCUCUCAGCACUCAGUAAUUAAUUUUGUUCAAUACUGUCUACAAGCUACAAUUAAUAUUAAAAUUAUUUUAAAACCUCAAUAUUGAAGGUUUAUACAUUGACUGUCUCAUAUAGAAGUUAAUGAUAUAUCAUAGAGAGGUUUAGAGAUAAAUAAACGUAGUACGGACUUGUUUUGAUGCAUGCAAUCAGCAAUGUGAUAUUUUGACAGUGACUCCCCGCCGCCUCAUGAGUUUCGUAACAGUUCGUUCAAUCUCGACGGUCGCUCGGACCUUCGGCGAAACCUUCGGCUUCGGUCGGACCUUCGGCGAAACCUUCGGCUUCGGUCGGGUUUUGGGCCGAAACCGAAUGUUUCGCCGAAGUUGGAUUUUUGGCCGAAGGUGGCCGAAGCCGAAGCUUCGGUCGGACACUAAUAAUUAUAUACUUUAAGUUUAAAUUGUCAAAGACAGUACAACGAUGUUAUACAAAAUGAUUGUAAACAUCUCAUUUAGACUUAGAAUUAUCAAUAAGUAAACUAAGGAUGUGCGAUUUUAUUUUUUGUUAUUUUUCUAAAGAAAGAUUUAUCGACUAUGAGUCAAGUCACAAGUUAUUAAGUUAGUUCUUUGAUAAAUAAAUAUUUUUAUAAUAAAUAAUAAAAAUUUAACGACUUUAA